AUUGAUUUAGGCAGUCUGUGUUUUGUAAGCUGUAGAGAACAUUGUGGAUUGUUUACAUAUUGGUUGAGUAUGCUCGGUGCUAUCAGUGAGGCCCCGUUGGUGUGUGUUUGUGCGAUGGUCGCCUGCAUUCUCAUGUUGGUCUUGGCCUACAACUCUUAUUACAGAGAUCUAGAACACACGGCUAACCCUGAACCACCUUCGUUUCAUGGUAUAUAUCGAACAUGGGCUGGACAAAAUCCAUUGAAUAGGAAUAACUGAUUGUAUAUAAAAUAAUUGAAACUCAAGAUCAUCAAGUGACGUCACAGCUGGAAGAGGAAAACGGUGACUUAAAGGACCAAAAAAAGACUGUGUUUUACGCAUUAUUACUUAUCUUAUUAUUUUAUAAAUAUAAAUCAAAUAAAUAUUUAGCCUUU